rnacentral:rRNA from 1 species
CAGUCGUACGCUUCUUUUUCCCCGGAGCUUGCUCCACCGGAAAAAGAAGAGUGGCGAACGGGUGAGUAACACGUGGGUAACCUGCCCAUCAGAAGGGGAUAACACUUGGAAACAGGUGCUAAUACCGUAUAACAAUCGAAACCGCAUGGUUUUGAUUUGAAAGGCGCUUUCGGGUGUCGCUGAUGGAUGGACCCGCGGUGCAUUAGCUAGUUGGUGAGGUAACGGCUCACCAAGGCCACGAUGCAUAGCCGACCUGAGAGGGUGAUCGGCCACAUUGGGACUGAGACACGGCCCAAACUCCUACGGGAGGCAGCAGUAGGGAAUCUUCGGCAAUGGACGAAAGUCUGACCGAGCAACGCCGCGUGAGUGAAGAAGGUUUUCGGAUCGUAAAACUCUGUUGUUAGAGAAGAACAAGGAUGAGAGUAACUGUUCAUCCCUUGACGGUAUCUAACCAGAAAGCCACGGCUAACUACGUGCCAGCAGCCGCGGUAAUACGUAGGUGGCAAGCGUUGUCCGGAUUUAUUGGGCGUAAAGCGAGCGCAGGCGGUUUCUUAAGUCUGAUGUGAAAGCCCCCGGCUCAACCGGGGAGGGUCAUUGGAAACUGGGAGACUUGAGUGCAGAAGAGGAGAGUGGAAUUCCAUGUGUAGCGGUGAAAUGCGUAGAUAUAUGGAGGAACACCAGUGGCGAAGGCGGCUCUCUGGUCUGUAACUGACGCUGAGGCUCGAAAGCGUGGGGAGCAAACAGGAUUAGAUACCCUGGUAGUCCACGCCGUAAACGAUGAGUGCUAAGUGUUGGAGGGUUUCCGCCCUUCAGUGCUGCAGCUAACGCAUUAAGCACUCCGCCUGGGGAGUACGACCGCAAGGUUGAAACUCAAAGGAAUUGACGGGGGCCCGCACAAGCGGUGGAGCAUGUGGUUUAAUUCGAAGCAACGCGAAGAACCUUACCAGGUCUUGACAUCCUUUGACCACUCUAGAGAUAGAGCUUCCCCUUCGGGGGCAAAGUGACAGGUGGUGCAUGGUUGUCGUCAGCUCGUGUCGUGAGAUGUUGGGUUAAGUCCCGCAACGAGCGCAACCCUUAUUGUUAGUUGCCAUCAUUUAGUUGGGCACUCUAGCAAGACUGCCGGUGACAAACCGGAGGAAGGUGGGGAUGACGUCAAAUCAUCAUGCCCCUUAUGACCUGGGCUACACACGUGCUACAAUGGGAAGUACAACGAGUCGCGAAGUCGCGAGGCUAAGCUAAUCUCUUAAAGCUUCUCUCAGUUCGGAUUGUAGGCUGCAACUCGCCUACAUGAAGCCGGAAUCGCUAGUAAUCGCGGAUCAGCACGCCGCGGUGAAUACGUUCCCGGGCCUUGUACACACCGCCCGUCACACCACGAGAGUUUGUAACACCCGAAGUCGGUGAG